rnacentral:rRNA from 1 species
UACGUAGGGAGCAAGCGUUGUCCGGAAUCAUUGGGCGUAAAGCGCGCGUAGGCGGCCCUGUAAGUCCGUUGUGAAAGUCAAAGGCUCAACCUUUGAAAGCCGAUGGAUACUGCAGGGCUCGAGUCCGGAAGAGGCGAGUGGAAUUCCUGGUGUAGCGGUGAAAUGCGCAGAUAUCAGGAGGAACACCAAUGGCGAAGGCAGCUCGCUGGGACGGUACUGACGCUGAGACGCGAAAGCGUGGGGAGCAAACAGG